rnacentral:tRNA from 1 species
UAAACUAUAGUCUAAGUAAGACAUUUACCUUCCAAGUAAAAAAUAUCAACUGAUUAGUUUAA